UUCCUACGGGGGGCAGCAGUGGGGAAUAUUGCACAGUGGGGGAAACCCUGAUGCAGCGACGCCGCGUGAGUGAAGAAGUCAUUCGUGAUGUAAAGCUCUAUCAGCAGGGAAGAAAAUGACGGUACCUGACCAAGAAGCCCCGGCUAACUACGUGCCAGCAGCCGCGGUAAUACGUAGGGGGCAAGCGUUAUCCGGAUUUACUGGGUGUAAAGGGAGCGUAGACGGUUGCGCAAGUCUGGAGUGAAAGGCGGGGGCCCAACCCCCGGACUGCUCUGGAAACUGUGUAACUGGAGUGCAGGAGAGGG
rnacentral:rRNA from 1 species